rnacentral:rRNA from 1 species
UACGUAGGGGGCAAGCGUUGUCCGGAAUCACUGGGCGUAAAGGGCGCGUAGGCGGCCCUCCUUGUCGCGUGUGAAAGCCCCGGGCUCAACCUGGGAACGGCGCGCGAGACGGGGGGGCUGGAGUUCGGGAGAGGAGCGUGGAAUUCCCAGUGUAGAGGUGAAAUUCGUAGAUAUUGGGAAGAACACCGGUGGCGAAGGCGGCGCUCUGGACCGAGACUGACGCUGAGGCGCGAAAGCGUGGGGAGCAAACAGG